rnacentral:rRNA from 1 species
GACGAACGCUGGCGGCGUGCUUAACACAUGCAAGUCGAACGGAAAGGCCUUUUCGGAGGUACUCGAGUGGCGAACGGGUGAGUAACACGUGGGUGAUCUGCCCUGCACUCUGGGAUAAGCCUGGGAAACUGGGUCUAAUACCGGAUAGGACCGCACUUUAGUGUGUGUGGUGGAAAGUUUUUUCGGUGUAGGAUGAGCCCGCGGCCUAUCAGCUUGUUGGUGGGGUAAUGGCCUACCAAGGCGGCGACGGGUAGCCGGACUGAGAGGUUGGUCGGCCACAUUGGGACUGAGAUACGGCCCAGACUCCUACGGGAGGCAGCAGUGGGGAAUAUUGCACAAUGGGCGCAAGCCUGAUGCAGCGACGCCGCGUGGGGGAUGACGGCCUUCGGGUUGUAAACUCCUUUCGCCAGGGACGAAGCGUUUUGUGACGGGACCUGGAGAAGAAGCACCGGCUAACUACGU